GAAGCGGCAACAGCUCAAAUUUGAAAUCUGACCCUUUGGGGUCCGAGUUGUAAUUUGCAGAGGGUGUUUCGGGCACGGUGCCGGUUUAAGUCCUUUGGAACAGGGUGUCAUAGAGGGUGAGAACCCCGUAUGUGACCGGUCGCCAAACCCAUGUGAAACCCCUUCGACGAGUCGAGUUGUUUGGGAAUGCAGCUCAAAAUGGGUGGUAAAUUUCAUCUAAAGCUAAAUAUUGGCCAGAGACCGAUAGCGCACAAGUAGAGUGAUCGAAAGAUGAAAAGCACUUUGGAAAGAGAGUCAAACAGCACGUGAAAUUGUUGAAAGGGAAGCGCUUGCGACCAGACCUGCUCGCGGGUGAUCAGCGGUGCUUUUCGCGCCGUGCACUCAUCCGCGAUCAGGCCAGCAUCGGUUCAGGCGGCCGGACAAAGACUCGGAGAAUGUAGCUCCCUCCGGGGAGUGUUAUUAUCUCCUUGUGCAAUACGGCCAGCCGGGACCGAGGACCGCGCU
rnacentral:rRNA from 1 species